GGUAUAGCCAAGUGGUAAGGCAGCGGGUUUUGAUCCCGCCAUUCGUAGGUUCAAAUCCUGCUACC
rnacentral:tRNA from 1 species